CUCUCAACCAUGUCGCCCUGUUCACCCAGAGCAGAAAUGCUGGCAGCUGUCAUGGACAAGUGAGAUGAGGCACACGUCUCCAGGAUGACCCACGGGCUUCUCUGCCUGCCACUGCCAUUUUCAACCCUGCUGCCUCUUCCCCUCCCCGCUCUGUUUUCCUCUGUCUUCCUCUCUCCCUCCCUCCUUCUUCUUCUCUCCCCACCCCACUCUCUUCGAAGGAGAAUUAUAUUCAGCUCUGUGGGUUGUUUUUAAUGCAUUCCAGAUGCCAGAAGAAAUCUUGGCCUGGGCUCAGCGUUCUUCUGACUUCAGGCCUCUCCCCCACCUACCUCCCUGUCUGACUCCCAAGGCCACAAGGAAAAACCAGCUCCUGGUGUUUGGUGACACAGAAGGAGCAGGCAGGGCAGAUCGAAGGCAGAAGUGGAGUCCUGUGGUUUCUGAACAGGCCAAGAUUCAGUUGAAUAAGAAAUGAAAAGCUGAGAAGAUUGUUGAAGAGCACGGGUGCUUCUCUAGAAGGAGUAAAACCUAGAAAUUAAUUCAAUUGGCAUUUUGAGGGGAGAAGAGAAGAAGAACUGCUACUCCUCUGAGUCAACAUCAUGCAUAGGUUGGGCCGCUGCUGUUACUAUACCAAGAAUGACUGAGGCUGAGUACUUAAAAGAAAAAACUUUGGAGACUGGAAAUCCAAACAGCAUGGCAUCUUCUCAGAUGAGAGAAUCCCUUGUCUUCAUCACCUCAUGGGGAAAAACAUGCAAAAGCAAGAGACACACAGGAAGCCAGAGCGAAGGAGAGACCAGUCUGGGGCUGCCCAAGUAUCGCUUUCUAAAGAUCUCAACAUGUCCCCAUCACCACACCAAGAACCCAGCUUCUAGCACAUGGACCUUUGGGCAAGCCACACCCAACGCCAUACCGACAUUCAGUGCAAGUUAGUCCUCAGGAUGGACGAGGGGUAGUAAGACAAUACUUGGUCCCACGCCUUUUAUUCUCUUGUUAGAAUAAAGGUGUCCCAUCAUGCAGG
rnacentral:lncRNA from 1 species